UACGGGGGGGGCAAGCGUUGUUCGGAAUUACUGGGCGUAAAGGGCUCGUAGGCGGCCUACUAAGUCAGGGGUGAAAUCCCGGGGCUCAACCCCGGAACUGCCUUUGAUACUGAUAGUCUCGAGUCCGGAAGAGGUGAGUGGAAUUCCGAGUGUAGAGGUGAAAUUCGUAGAUAUUCGGAGGAACACCAGUGGCGAAGGCGGCUCACUGGUCCGGUACUGACGCUGAGGUGCGAAAGCGUGGGGAGCAAACAGG
rnacentral:rRNA from 1 species